rnacentral:rRNA from 1 species
UACGUAGGGGGCGAGCGUUGUCCGGAAUCAUUGGGCGUAAAGCGCGUGUAGGCGGCCCGGUAAGUCCGCUGUGAAAGUCCAGGGCUCAACCCUGGGAUGCCGGUGGAUACUGUCGGGCUCGAGUCCGGAAGAGGCGAGUGGAAUUCCUGGUGUAGCGGUGAAAUGCGCAGAUAUCAGGAGGAACACCAAUGGCGAAGGCAGCUCGCUGGGACGUGACUGACGCUGAGGCACGAAAGCGUGGGGAGCAAACAGG